rnacentral:tRNA from 1 species
GGGUAUCUAGUCCAAAACAAGACCACUAAUUUCGGCUUAGUAAAUCAUGUAUAUAACCAUGGCUACCUU